AUAGGUAAAUAGGUAAUUAAAUACACACACACACACACACACACACACACACACACACACACACGACCCCCCCUCCCCCUCCCCCCCGAUACACCCCCCUACACACACACUCAGCCAUGUCCGGCGGCGACACGUCCAAGCUGGUUAGCGCAGUCAAGGACGGGCUUCACUCUGAGUGGGCCGAGUUCAAGAAGACCAAGAAAGCGAAAGCCAAGCCCGUGUGCCCCUAUGCCAUCGGUGGGCAGCGCGACACCCCCAUUGCCGCACUGGAGAGCAUCAGCAAUGGCGUGCGUGAAUGGGAGGUAUGCCUGCACUACACGGUUGACCCCACAGUGGACAGGUCGCGUGGGGUCCUUCCGAGCGAGGUCAUGGUCGGGGCGGAGGGUCAAAUCUGGCUGUACCCCAUCCGCCGCCACCUCACGGAUGACACCCCAGGGACAUCCGUAGCUGGCCCCGCGUCCUCGGUCCCCCCGCUCAAGCCUGUUCCGGUGGGGGGCAAGACACGGCAGCUGUCCCCGAAGGCGUCGCUGAUGGUCGCGGCGGAGCAGUCGGCGAACUACAUGCUGGAUCACAUCAAGCGAGUGAGUGAGUUCGCCUUCAUCGCCGGCAACAACCAGGCCCUCAUCAUGUGCCUGGCGUCCGCAGCUCUCGUCCGCAGCAGACUCAACACCUACAAGGACAUCCUCAAGCAGCCAACCUCUAAGAACCUGACGGCCGCGCUGGGUCGGUGUGGCGAGGUGGUGGAGUUCAUGAUGCAGAAUGUCCUGAGCUACAACUGUGACCUGCUGUCCCUGCUGCUGCACGACGCCGCCAGCCACGACUGGCUCAGCCCAAAGCCCUACCAGGAGGGCGCCCGCUGCUCCCUCACCGUGCAGAUCUGGUCCUUCUACAUGCAGGGGCUGAGGAAUGAUCUGUGGCGCUACACAUCACCGCGCAUCAGUGAGAGCAUCCUGGCCAGCAUCUUCACCGACACCCUCAGCCUCAUGGUCACCAGAUAUGCACAGAUUGAGGCGAGUGACGUGCGGCUGCCCCAGUACAGCGCGGACGUCAUCGCCAUCCUGACCAUUGUGGCGGCCUUCCUGCCCUCCCUGGUAGCCUCCCCCGUCAUGCUGUUCAGCGUGCGCAUCCAUGAGUCCGUGGCGCUGCCCAUCCACCGCCGCGCCGACCUGCUGCUCAAGGUGGCCGCCAUAAAGUGUGCGCCCAUUGAGAACCUGGCAAGGGUUUUCCAGAAGGGCUUUGACAGUGCCGUGAGGAGGGACAGCUAUCCCGAGAGUUUGACGCGCAUCUCCUCCACCCCUUCCUGGCUCACCUUCCUCAACCCGGCACUGUUCCCCCGCGGCAAGGCUUCCCUCAGCUACCUGGGCGACCCUGUGGCGGUCUACCUCACCCUCCUCACAGCCGCCAGCCGCCCCCAGCCACAGUACUCCCUCAUCGUGCGGGGUCUGUUGAUGCGUCGGUUCCUGGCCACCAAGACCAUCCUGCGGGGGCUCCAGGACGCCCCGGGCCAUGUGACGUGUGGCGAGCCCUGCGGCGGCCCCCUGUGCAUGCCCCACCUCUGCAUGCCGCCCCUCAUACCCCAUACAGUGUACGCCGCCGUGGCCCAGAUCCUGGUGCAGUGCAUUGACUGGGUGCCUGCGCUGUGCAAGAUUGCCAGUCCGGGGAUCAAGGAGUCUGGGCUCUGGGACUCCCUGGACCGAACGCAGGUGUGGAAUGUGCAGCGCCCCCCCUGGCACCACGCCCUCGUGCAGCUGUUGACACCCAGCGUGGUGGGGGUGGUGGCCGAGGUCCUCCAUUCAGUGCCCCCCCAGCCGCCCGCCAAGCCCGCCCACCCCAGCCAGCUAUCGGUGAGGCUGGAGCACCACCUGGCCGCCUGGACGCUGCAGCUGCUGACGGGCAUGGAGGGCGUGGCGGACAUGGUGCCUCUGCCCGUCAUCUUCACCGCCCACAACAUCAACGGCUGCCUGCCCCCCACCAUCAAGCCCACCGGCGGACAUGUCAUCACUCAGCUGGUGGUCAGCGCGCUCUACUCCGUCAUCAACUCCCGCUCGUCCCUUGAUCAACUCAGCGACACCCCAAUCACGGACGGCCAGUGGGACAUGAUGAUCGCCGUGGGGGAACGCCUCUGCUCGCUGCAUGACGGGAACUACGACACACACAUCAAGCGCAUGACCCUGGCCCUGCUGUCUCAGCUUGAGGACUUUGAGGACAGCGGCGAGGAGGACAGCCUGGAUGAGUACACAGACGAGGACGUGAUAGAGAGUGUGUGCGCCGCGCUGGCCAACACUGUGCUGUCCUCCGUCCAGGGCCAGCACGCCAUGGUGGUGGUGUGGGAGUUCCUCAAGAGAAACAUGACGUGGAUGCAGGAGAGCCUGGGGGCGCCGUCCAUUCUUCCUCCUUCCCCUGAGCAACAGCAGCAGCAGCAGCAGCACCCACUGCCCCGCCAGGCCCUCAACUUCGCCCCAGACCCCCUCAUCUACAACCCCCUCUAUUACUACAAGCGGGCCAUCUACACACAGCUGGACCAGGAGAGUCUGAUCAACUUCAAGGGCGACUGGGACUCAGUGCUGUGGAGUGACCUCGGGCUGCCCAAGGGGACCAUUAUUGACCUCAUCAAGAAGCGCCCGGAGUUCCAGAAUAACGCCUACCUCAGCAAGGCUCAAGUGGCUGCUGUCAAGAAGCUGCGGCCACUGCUUAAAGACCCGCAGGAGGAGGAGGACGAGAAGAAGCACUGAGGAAGCCCACAACACGAGGUGACUGUUGCAGGAUGGCCACAGAAGAACACACUGCUAAUCUUCUCCAUCAGCGUGAGACCACACCCUCACACUCUACAGAAUGAGGAGAACAUGGAGAAGCAGUGCGACAAGACUCAGACAUGUUAGAAGAAGAUGAAGAAGAAGAAGAAGAAGACGAAGAAAAAGAUGAUGAUUUAUUAUUUAUUACUAUUUCAAGUUGAUAUUUGUGAGCCUUCUGUGGUGAAAUGGGUGAGGCAGUCCAAGGAUGGCAGCAGUGUGUGUGUGUGUGUGUGUGUGUGUGUGUGUGUGUGUGCCCUCACAAGCCACAUCCUGGUGAGCCGAACACUUCCCUGAGGACUGAAGGUUUUGAGAAGAGAGACGAAGAUUGAGCUCCUUCUCGAAUGCCAUCAGAGUCCCUAGGAAGUGUAUUUGGGCAUGCCAGGCUGUGGUGUGGGCAUGAAUACACUUCCCCUAUCACCCGCUGCCUUGCCCACCUCCUCACAUAACUCUCACAACCACCAGCUGUCAAUGAUUUCCCUCCCUUGGCACCCUGUCCACGGAUAAUCGAUAUAGUACCAUGAUAUAUAGCAAUUAUAAUCCUCAUACAAAUAUAAUUCUUUGUUCUCUACGUCCUAUACAUAGCCGUUUCCUGCCCUAGGCCUCAGGAAAGUGGGAAUUCUAUGAGGGCACAAAAUAACACAGACUGACUUAGCCCUCCACAGUGAAGGAAGAAGGGCCUGUGCUAUAUGGAUGGGUUGCUAUUAGUACCUGUAGAUAGAUAAUGUAAAUAAUUCCACCAUCACACACUCCAAAUGGAAAUCCUAUGAGGGUACAAGAUAACACAGACUGCUUUGGCCCUCCACACUGAAGAAAGAAAGGCCUAUGCUCUAUGGAUAGGCUGCUAUUAGUACUUGUAGAUAAAUGAUAUGAACAAUUCUACAAUCACACACUGCCUCACAAUCACCAGCUCUCACUAAUUCUACAAUCACCCACUUGCUGCCUUGGGUGGUUCUAUGAUUUGCCUAAUAGUUUCAAGCAGGACAGACUAAUUUUUGCCUAUAGUAACAGUGGUACACGCCCCAAUGCUAGAGUAACAUGUGAGUGAAAAGGGAUGGAGGAGGAGUCACUAACAAGACACAUAUCGACUCACCACACCAACUGCAAGAACUCUGUGGCUGUGUGUUGGGUGUGACAUGAAGGGUUGGGACACACACACACUAGUUUGGCAGUCAGUACUCUAAGCUUGUCUCCUUUCCUCUCCCCUCUGCUCAACUCCUCACUCUCAGGCAGUCCACAUUCAUUGUUUGUUUGUUGCCUUCCUCAGAACAAGACCACAACUCACACUUCAUCCUGUAGAGUGUGAAGGUUGUGGCCUCAGGCUGAUGAAGGAGACUAGCAGUGUGUUAUGUAAGUGUGGACUGGCUAAGAUGAAGAUGUGGAGAGAGAGGAUGGUAGUAGAUGAAAUGUGGCAUAAUGUACAUAAAUGGUUACUGAAUGGCAUAAUACAUUGGUACAAAAUAGUUAUGGAAUGGGAGAGUGUGACCACCUAAAUCACAGAUGCCAUAUUGUUACCAAAAGACACGCACAAAAAUUCUAACUGGCCCUGGUGCAAUAGUGUUUUAGGUGUGCUUCAGGUAUGGUUAAGAUUUUGCAGCACCCAGAGCACACACACACACAUAAAAAAAACCUAUUGUAUCAGUAUUACUUUGAAUUUAAUGAAGCGUUUCUGGUGCAAAUAAAACCUCUACUAGUA